GACGAACGCUGGCGGCGUGCCUAAUACAUGCAAGUCGAACGAGAGCGACCGGUGCUUGCACUGGUCAAUCUAGUGGCGAACGGGUGAGUAACACGUGGGUAACCUGCCCAUCAGAGGGGGAUAACAUCCGGAAACGGAUGCUAAAACCGCAUAGGUCUUCGAGCCGCAUGGCUUGAAGAGGAAAAGAGGCGCAAGCUUCUGCUGAUGGAUGGACCCGCGGUGCAUUAGCUAGUUGGUGAGGUAACGGCUCACCAAGGCCGUGAUGCAUAGCCGACCUGAGAGGGUGAUCGGCCACAUUGGGACUGAGACACGGCCCAAACUCCUACGGGAGGCAGCAGUAGGGAAUCUUCCGCAAAGGACGCAAGUCUGACGGAGCAACGCCGCGUGAGUGAAGAAGGUUUUCGGAUCGUAAAACUCUGUUGUUAGAGAAGAACAAGUGCUAGAGUAACUGUUAGCGCCUUGACGGUACCUAACCAGAAAGCCACGGCUAACUACGUG
rnacentral:rRNA from 1 species